UACGUAGGGCGCAAGCGUUGUCCGGAAUUAUUGGGCGUAAAGAGCUCGUAGGUGGCUUGUCGCGUCUGCCGUGAAAGCCCGUGGCUUAACUACGGGUCUGCGGUGGAUACGGGCAGGCUAGAGGCUGGUAGGGGCAAGCGGAAUUCCUGGUGUAGCGGUGAAAUGCGCAGAUAUCAGGAGGAACACCGAUGGCGAAGGCAGGUCUCUGGGCAUUACUGACGCUGAGGAGCGAAAGCGUGGGGAGCGAACAGG
rnacentral:rRNA from 1 species